GACGAACGCUGGCGGCGUGCUUAACACAUGCAAGUCGAACGAUGAAGCCGGAGCUUGCUCCGGUGGAUUAGUGGCGAACGGGUGAGUAACACGUGAGCAAUCUGCCCUUGACUCUGGGAUAACUGCGGGAAACUGUAGCUAAUACCGGAUACGACACCUUGGGGCAUCCCAGGGUGUGGAAAGAAUUUCGGUCAAGGAUGAGCUCGCGGCCUAUCAGCUAGUUGGUGAGGUAAUGGCUCACCAAGGCGACGACGGGUAGCCGGCCUGAGAGGGUGACCGGCCACACUGGAACUGAGACACGGUCCAGACUCCUACGGGAGGCAGCAGUGGGGAAUAUUGCACAAUGGGCGAAAGCCUGAUGCAGCAACGCCGCGUGAGGGAUGAAGGCCUUCGGGUUGUAAACCUCUUUUAGCAGGGAAGAAGCGAAAGUGACGGUACCUUAAGAAUAAGGGCUUGCUAACCUCGUGCCAGCCGCCGCGGUAA
rnacentral:rRNA from 1 species